rnacentral:lncRNA from 1 species
UGGGGGAGGGGAGCUGGAAAAUAGAAAAGGACUUAGGGGCUCCCAGAAUACCUGGGGGAAUUCUUGGGGUGGAGGACUAUAAAUCAAGAUGAAUGUACUUCCAUUUGGUUCUGGGAGGUCUCCUGCAUCCUGUCUCCCUCAAGGCAGGACUGAAAAGCAAGAGCCUUGCUCCGCAGAGAUGUUUCCUGUUUUCUGUGCAUGACUAGAUACCCUGAGCUGGUCCUAAACAGCCACCACCACG